GUGACAGCCCCGUACACAAAAAUGCACAUAUUGUGAGCUCGAUGAGUAGGGCGGGACACGUGGUAUCCUGUCUGAAUAUGGGGGGACCAUCCUCCAAGGCUAAAUACUCCUGACUGACCGAUAGUGAACCAGUACCGUGAGGGAAAGGCGAAAAGAACCCCGGCGAGGGGAGUGAAAAAGAACCUGAAACCGUGUACGUACAAGCAGUGGGAGCCUCUUAAUGGGGUGACUGCGUACCUUUUGUAUAAUGGGUCAGCGACUUAUAUUCUGUAGCAAGGUUAACCGAAUAGGGGAGCCGAAGGGAAACCGAGUCUUAACUGGGCGUUAAGUUGCAGGGUAUAGACCCGAAACCCGGUGAUCUAGCCAUGGGCAGGUUGAAGGUUGGGUAACACUAACUGGAGGACCGAACCGACUAAUGUUGAAAAAUUAGCGGAUGACUUGUGGCUGGGGGUGAAAGGCCAAUCAAACCGGGAGAUAGCUGGUUCUCCCCGAAAGCUAUUUAGGUAGCGCCUCGUGAAUUCAUCUCCGGGGGUAGAGCACUGUUUCGGCAAGGGGGUCAUCCCGACUUACCAACCCGAUGCAAACUGCGAAUACCGGAGAAUGUUAUCACGGGAGACACACGGCGGGUGCUAACGUCCGUCGUGAAGAGGGAAACAACCCAGACCGCCAGCUAAGGUCCCAAAGUCAUGGUUAAGUGGGAAACGAUGUGGGAAGGCCCAGACAGCCAGGAUGUUGGCUUAGAAGCAGCCAUCAUUUAAAGAAAGCGUAAUAGCUCACUGGUCGAGUCGGCCUGCGCGGAAGAUGUAACGGGGCUAAACCAUGCACCGAAGCUGCGGCAGCGACGCUUAUGCGUUGUUGGGUAGGGGAGCGUUCUGUAAGCCUGUGAAGGUGGCCUGUGAGGGUUGCUGGAGGUAUCAGAAGUGCGAAUGCUGACAUAAGUAACGAUAAAGCGGGUGAAAAGCCCGCUCGCCGGAAGACCAAGGGUUCCUGUCCAACGUUAAUCGGGGCAGGGUGAGUCGACCCCUAAGGCGAGGCCGAAAGGCGUAGUCGAUGGGAAACAGGUUAAUAUUCCUGUACUUGGUGUUACUGCGAAGGGGGGACGGAGAAGGCUAUGUUGGCCGGGCGACGGUUGUCCCGGUUUAAGCGUGUAGGCUGGUUUUCCAGGCAAAUCCGGAAAACCAAGGCUGAGGCGUGAUGACGAGGCACUACGGUGCUGAAGCGACAAAUGCCCUGCUUCCAGGAAAAGCCUCUAAGCAUCAGGUAACAUCAAAUCGUACCCCAAACCGACACAGGUGGUCAGGUAGAGAAUACCAAGGCGCUUGAGAGAACUCGGGUGAAGGAACUAGGCAAAAUGGUGCCGUAACUUCGGGAGAAGGCACGCUGAUAUGUAGGUGAAGCGACUUGCUCGUGGAGCUGAAAUCAGUCGAAGAUACCAGCUGGCUGCAACUGUUUAUUAAAAACACAGCACUGUGCAAACACGAAAGUGGACGUAUACGGUGUGACGCCUGCCCGGUGCCGGAAGGUUAAUUGAUGGGGUUAGCGGUAACGCGAAGCUCUUGAUCGAAGCCCCGGUAAACGGCGGCCGUAACUAUAACGGUCCUAAGGUAGCGAAAUUCCUUGUCGGGUAAGUUCCGACCUGCACGAAUGGCGUAAUGAUGGCCAGGCUGUCUCCACCCGAGACUCAGUGAAAUUGAACUCGCUGUGAAGAUGCAGUGUACCCGCGGCAAGACGGAAAGACCCCGUGAACCUUUACUAUAGCUUGACACUGAACAUUGAGCCUUGAUGUGUAGGAUAGGUGGGAGGCUUUGAAGUGUGGACGCCAGUCUGCAUGGAGCCGACCUUGAAAUACCACCCUUUAAUGUUUGAUGUUCUAACGUUGGCCCGUAAUCCGGGUUGCGGACAGUGUCUGGUGGGUAGUUUGACUGGGGCGGUCUCCUCCUAAAGAGUAACGGAGGAGCACGAAGGUUGGCUAAUCCUGGUCGGACAUCAGGAGGUUAGUGCAAUGGCAUAAGCCAGCUUGACUGCGAGCGUGACGGCGCGAGCAGGUGCGAAAGCAGGUCAUAGUGAUCCGGUGGUUCUGAAUGGAAGGGCCAUCGCUCAACGGAUAAAAGGUACUCCGGGGAUAACAGGCUGAUACCGCCCAAGAGUUCAUAUCGACGGCGGUGUUUGGCACCUCGAUGUCGGCUCAUCACAUCCUGGGGCUGAAGUAGGUCCCAAGGGUAUGGCUGUUCGCCAUUUAAAGUGGUACGCGAGCUGGGUUUAGAACGUCGUGAGACAGUUCGGUCCCUAUCUGCCGUGGGCGCUGGAGAACUGAGGGGGGCUGCUCCUAGUACGAGAGGACCGGAGUGGACGCAUCACUGGUGUUCGGGUUGUCAUGCCAAUGGCACUGCCCGGUAGCUAAAUGCGGAAGAGAUAAGUGCUGAAAGCAUCUAAGCACGAAACUUGCCCCGAGAUGAGUUCUCCCUGAGACUUAGAGUCUCCUGAAGGAACGUUGAAGACGACGACGUUGAUAGGCCGGGUGUGUAAGCGCAGCGAUGCGUUGAGCUAACCGGUACUAAUGAACCGUGAGGCUUAACCUUACAACGCCGAAG
rnacentral:rRNA from 1 species